UACGUAGGGUGCGAGCGUUGUCCGGAAUUAUUGGGCGUAAAGGGCUCGUAGGCGGUUUGUCGCGUCAGGAGUGAAAACUCGGGGCUUAACCCCGAGCCUGCUUCUGAUACGGGCAGACUAGAGGUAUGCAGGGGAGAACGGAAUUCCUGGUGUAGCGGUGAAAUGCGCAGAUAUCAGGAGGAACACCGGUGGCGAAGGCGGUUCUCUGGGCAUUACCUGACGCUGAGGAGCGAAAGUGUGGGGAGCAAACAGG
rnacentral:rRNA from 1 species